rnacentral:tRNA from 1 species
GAAAAUGAAGGAAAAUGAGGCUAUGGCUCCUGCCUUCACACGGCAGGGGUCACAGGUUCAAUCCCUGUCGCAUCCACCA